rnacentral:pre_miRNA from 1 species
AAACUACUCCCUCCGUUCCAAAUUACUCAUCGCAGAAAUGGAUGUAUCUAGAACUAAAAUACAUCUAGAUACAUCCAUACCUGCGACAAGUAAUUCAGAACGGAGGGAGUAUAAU